rnacentral:rRNA from 1 species
UGCACGCUGGCGGCGUGCCUAAUACAUGUAAGUCGAGCGACCGGACGAGAAGCUUGCUUCUCUGAUGUUAGCGGCGGACGGGUGAGUAACACGUGGAUAACCUACCUAUAAGACUGGGAUAACUUCGGGAAACCGGAGCUAAUACCGGAUAAUAUUUUGAACCGCAUGGUUCAAGAGUGAAAGACGGUCUUGCUGUCACUUAUAGAUGGAUCCGCGCUGCAUUAGCUAGUUGGUAAGGUAACGGCUUACCAAGGCAACGAUGCAUAGCCGACCUGAGAGGGUGAUCGGCCACACUGGAACUGAGACACGGUCCAGACUCCUACGGGAGGCAGCAGUAGGGAAUCUUCCGCAAUGGGCGAAAGCCUGACGGAGCAACGCCGCGUGAGUGAUGAAGGUCUUCGGAUCGUAAAACUCUGUUAUUAGGGAAGAACAUAUGUGUAAGUAACUGUGCACAUCUUGACGGUACCUAAUCAGAAAGCCACGGCUAACUACGUG